rnacentral:misc_RNA from 1 species
GAUGAAGAACGUAGCGAAAUGCGAUAAGUAAUGUGAAUUGCAGAAUUCAGUGAAUCAUCGAAUCUUUGAACGCACAUUGCGCCCGCCAGUAUUCUGGCGGGCAUGCCUGUUCGAGCGUCAUUACAACCCUUCAGGCCCCCGGGCCUGGCGUUGGGGAUCGGCGGAGCCCCCCGUGGGCACACGCCGUCCCCCAAAUGCAGUGGCGGUCCCGCCGCAGCUUCCAUCGCGUAGUAGCUAACACCUCGCGACUGGAGAGCGGCGCGGCCACGCCGUAAAACACCCAACUCUUCUGAAGUUGACCUCGAAUCAGGUAGGAAUACCCGCUGAACUUAAGCAUAUCAAUAAGCGGAGGA